UGGGGAAUAUUGCACAAUGGGGGGAACCCUGAUGCAGCGACGCCGCGUGGGUGAAGGAGCACCUCGGUGCGUAAAGCCCUAUCGGCAGGGAAGAAACAGACGGUACCUGACUAAGAAGCCCCGGCUAACUACGUGCCAGCAGCCGCGGUAAUACGUAGGGGGCAAGCGUUAUCCGGAUUCACUGGGUGUAAAGGGAGCGUAGACGGCGACGCAAGUCUGGAGUGAAAGCCCGGGGCCCAACCCCGGGACUGCUCUGGAAACUGCGGCGCUGGAGUACGGGAGGGGCAGGCGGAAUUCCUGGUGUAGCGGUGAAAUGCGUAGAUAUCAGGAGGAACACCGGCGGCGAAGGCGGCCUGCUGGACCGUGACUGACGUUGAGGCUCGAGAGCGUGGGGAGCAAACAGG
rnacentral:rRNA from 1 species